AAGUUAUAUUACAAAUAUUUUAUUACAAAUAUAUUACAAAGUUUGGAAUGUGAAAAGUAUGAUGUACCACAACUCGCAGUUAGCUACAGCUAUUCGAGGCAAGAAGUGGUUUGAUGCAUAAAUUUAAGUAUUAUUUUACAAUGCAUGAAAAAACUUACUGGACUAAAUCUGAAGCACAAAUCAGAUUAUGAAACCAAAAAAGCAAAAUAAUAAUUGGAUAUUGACCAGUAUAGCAUUUGGGAAAGAAAAAACAAAUGAAACAAAAUUCAUAUGAAAAUUAAA